rnacentral:rRNA from 1 species
UACAGAGGGGGCAAGCGUUGUUCGGAAUUACUGGGCGUAAAGGGCGCGUAGGCGGCCUGCUAAGUCGAACGUGAAAUCCCUGGGCUCAACCCAGGAACUGCGUCCGAUACUGGGUGGCUUGAGUUCGGGAGAGGAAUGUGGAAUUCCAGGUGUAGCGGUGAAAUGCGUAGAUAUCUGAAGGAACACCGGUGGCGAAGGCGGCAUUCUGGACCGAAACUGACGCUGAGGCGCGAAAGCCAGGGGAGCAAACGGG